UUCAAGAUUGGGAUGGGAGUUCUUCUCUCAAGUGCUUGUUUGAUUUCAGAUGAAAUGUCGGAAGCAACUUCUGAAUGUAUUCAAGAUAUAGCAGCAGAGGUUAGAGCUGCUGUUGUUUUAGCAGCAGUUGCCGAAGAACUGGCAGAAGGACGCUGUGAUGUGGGACCCAGAGAGCUCAGGAGGAGAAUAUGUCAAGCGCAACAUGUGGUAUCCAGUUUACAGCCCUCUUGUUCAUGAGAAAUAAAGUUCCGAUCAUCUCUGUGUGAGUGUGCGCGCGCGCGAAGGAUAUUUUUCUGCAGACACUGUCCCAGCGUUCUGCAGCCAUUCAAUUAUUCAUGAUGUAACUGUAGUUUUGAAGUCUAGAGUAGUAAUAUGGGUGAAAGAACAAAACUCGAGAGAGAAGGCUCGUAGAAGUUGAAUAAUGCCACUGCAGUUUUAAUUAAGUCCUUUUGUAUAAAUCUUCUUAUUGAUGUAAUGAACAACAUCAUGUAAAAUGUCUCUUUUUUAGUUUUUUCAAAAACUUAUUGAUGUUUCAUGUAUGCUCC